rnacentral:rRNA from 1 species
CUAAGUUUGAUGGCGACCGGCGCACGGGUGAGUAACACGUAUCCAACCUGCCGAUGACUCGGGGAUAGCCUUUCGAAAGAAAGAUUAAUACCCGAUGGCAUAGUUCUUCCGCAUGGUGGAACUAUUAAAGAAUUUCGGUCAUCGAUGGGGAUGCGUUCCAUUAGGUUGUUGGCGGGGUAACGGCCCACCAAGCCUUCGAUGGAUAGGGGUUCUGAGAGAAGGUCCCCCACAUUGGAACUGAGACACGGUCCAAACUCCUACGGGAGGCAGCAUG